rnacentral:rRNA from 1 species
UACGUAGGGUGCGAGCGUUAAUCGGAAUUACUGGGCGUAAAGCGUGCGCAGGCGGUUCGCCAAGUCAGGUGUGAAAUCCCCGGGCUUAACCUGGGAAUUGCGCUUGAAACUGGCGGGCUUGAGUGUGGCAGAGGGGGGUGGAAUUCCACGUGUAGCAGUGAAAUGCGUAGAGAUGUGGAGGAACACCGAUGGCGAAGGCAGCCCCCUGGGUCAACACUGACGCUCAUGCACGAAAGCGUGGGGAGCAAACAGG